rnacentral:rRNA from 1 species
GACGAACGCUGGCGGCGUGCUUAACACAUGCAAGUCGAACGGAAAGGCCCUGCUUUUGUGGGGUGCUCGAGUGGCGAACGGGUGAGUAACACGUGAGUAACCUGCCCUUGACUUUGGGAUACCUUCAGGAAACUGGGGCUAAUACCGGAUAGGAGCUCCUGCUGCAUGGUGGGGGUUGGAAAGUUUCGGCGGUUGGGGAUGGACUCGCGGCUUAUCAGCUUGUUGGUGGGGUAGUGGCUUACCCAGGCUUUGACGGGUAGCCGGCCUGAGAGGGUGACCGGCCACAUUGGGACUGAGAUACGGACCAGACUCCUACGGGAGGCAGCAGUGGGGAAUAUUGCACAAUGGGCGGAAGCCUGAUGCAGCAACGCCGCGUGCGGGAUGACGGCCUUCGGGUUGUAAACCGCUUUCGCCUGUGACGAAGCGUGAGUGACGGUAAUGGGUAAAGAAGCACCGGCUAACUACGUG